rnacentral:rRNA from 1 species
GACGAACCGAGCGAACGUUGUUCGGAAUCACUGGGCUUAAAGGGCGCGUAGGCGGGUGCUCAAGUCCGGGGUGAAAUCCUCCAGCUCAACUGGAGAACUGCCUCGGAUACUGGGUGUCUCGAGGGUGGUAGGGGUAUGCGGAACUAUCGGUGGAGCGGUGAAAUGCGUUGAUAUCGAUAGGAACUCCGGUGGCGAAGGCGGCAUACUGGACCACAUCUGACGCUGAGGCACGAAAGCCAGGGGAGCAAACGGG